rnacentral:rRNA from 1 species
UGGGGAAUUUUGGACAAUGGGCGAAAGCCUGAUCCAGCCAUACCGCGUGAGUGAUGAAGGUCUUAGGAUUGUAAAGCUCUUUUGACGAGGAAGAUAAUGACGGUACUCGUAGAAUAAGCACCGGCUAAUUUCGCGCCAGCAGCCGCGGUAAUACGUAGGGACCAAGCGUCGUUCGGAUUUACUGGGCGUAAAGGGCGCGUAGGCGGCUACACAAGUCAGAGGUGAAAGCCCGGGGCUCAACCCCGGAACUGCCUUUGAAACUAGGUGGCUAGAAUCUUGGAGAGGUCAGUGGAAUUCCGAGUGUAGAGGUGAAAUUCGUAGAUAUUCGGAAGAACACCAGUGGCGAAGGCGACUGACUGGACAAGUAUUGACGCUGAGGUACGAAAGCGUGGGGAGCAAA